UGCAGUCGAACGAUGAACCACUUCGGUGGGGAUUAGUGGCGAACGGGUGAGUAACACGUGGGCAAUCUGCCCUGCACUCUGGGACAAGCCCUGGAAACGGGGUCUAAUACCGGAUACUGACCCUCGCAGGCAUCUGCGAGGUUCGAAAGCUCCGGCGGUGCAGGAUGAGCCCGCGGCCUAUCAGCUUGUUGGUGAGGUAAUGGCUCACCAAGGCGACGACGGGUAGCCGGCCUGAGAGGGCGACCGGCCACACUGGGACUGAGACACGGCCCAGACUCCUACGGGAGGCAGCAGUGGGGAAUAUUGCACAAUGGGCGAAAGCCUGAUGCAGCGACGCCGCGUGAGGGAUGACGGCCUUCGGGUUGUAAACCUCUUUCAGCAGGGAAGAAGCGAAAGUGACGGUACCUGCAGAAGAAGCGCCGGCUAACUACGUGCCAGCAGCCGCGGUAAUACGUAGGGCGCAAGCGUUGUCCGGAAUUAUUGGGCGUAAAGAGCUCGUA
rnacentral:rRNA from 1 species